UAGGGAAUCUUCGGCAAUGGACGGAAGUCUGACCGAGCAACGCCGCGUGAGUGAAGAAGGUUUUCGGAUCGUAAAGCUCUGUUGUAAGAGAAGAACGAGUGUGAGAGUGGAAAGUUCACACUGUGACGGUAUCUUACCAGAAAGGGACGGCUAACUACGUGCCAGCAGCCGCGGUAAUACGUAGGUCCCGAGCGUUGUCCGGAUUUAUUGGGCGUAAAGCGAGCGCAGGCGGUUAGAUAAGUCUGAAGUUAAAGGCUGUGGCUUAACCAUAGUACGCUUUGGAAACUGUUUAACUUGAGUGCAAGAGGGGAGAGUGGAAUUCCAUGUGUAGCGGUGAAAUGCGUAGAUAUAUGGAGGAACACCGGUGGCGAAAGCGGCUCUCUGGCUUGUAACUGACGCUGAGGCUCGAAAGCGUGGGGAGCAAACAGGAUUAGAUACCCUGGUAGUCCACGCCGUAAACGAUGAGUGCUAGGUGUUAGACCCUUUCCGGGGUUUAGUGNCGCAGCUAACGCAUUAANCACUCCGCCUGGGGAGUACNACCGCAAGGNUG
rnacentral:rRNA from 1 species